rnacentral:rRNA from 1 species
AACGAACGCUGGCGGCGCGCCUAAUACAUGCAAGUCGAGCGAGAAGACGUAGCAAUACGUUUGUAAAGCGGCGAACGGGUGAGGAAUACAUGGGUAACCUACCCUCGAGUGGGGAAUAACUAGCCGAAAGGUUAGCUAAUACCGCAUACGAUUCCCGGACUGCGGUUCGGGAAGGAAAGCGAUACCGUGGGUAUCGCGCCCUUGGAUGGGCUCAUGUCCUAUCAGCUUGUUGGUGAGGUAAUGGCUCACCAAGGCUUCGACGGGUAGCUGGUCUGAGAGGACGAUCAGCCACACUGGCACUGCGACACGGGCCAGACUCCUACGGGAGGCAGCAGUAAGGAAUAUUGCGCAAUGGACGAAAGUCUGACGCAGCGACGCCGCGUGGGGGAUGAAGGUCUUCGGAUUGUAAACCCCUUUCGGCAGGGAAGAUGGAACGGGUAACCGUUCGGACGGUACCUGCAGAAGCAGCCACGGCUAACUUCGUGCCAGCAGCCGCGGUAA